rnacentral:rRNA from 1 species
UACGUAGGGUGCAAGCGUUGUCCGGAAUUAUUGGGCGUAAAGAGCUCGUAGGCGGUCUGUCGCGUCGGCUGUGAAAACCUGGGGCUUAACUCCGGGCUUGCAGCCGAUACGGGCAGACUAGAGUUCGGUAGGGGAGACUGGAAUUCCUGGUGUAGCGGUGAAAUGCGCAGAUAUCAGGAGGAACACCGGUGGCGAAGGCGGCAUCCUGGACCGGUAUUGACGCUGAGGCGCGAAAGCCAGGGGAGCAAACGGG